rnacentral:rRNA from 1 species
AAAACUUUCAACAACGGAUCUCUUGGCUCUGGCAUCGAUGAAGAACGCAGCGAAAUGCGAUAAGUAAUGUGAAUUGCAGAAUUCAGUGAAUCAUCGAAUCUUUGAACGCACAUUGCGCCCGCCAGUAUUCUGGCGGGCAUGCCUGUUCGAGCGUCAUUACAACCCUCAGGCCCCCGGGCCUGGCGUUGGGGAUCGGCGGAAGCCCCCUGCGGGCACAACGCCGUCCCCCAAAUACAGUGGCGGUCCCGCCGCAGCUUCCAUUGCGUAGUAGCUAACACCUCGCAACUGGAGAGCGGCGCGGCCACGCCGUAAAACACCCAACUUCUGAAUGUUGACCUCGAAUCAGGUAGGAAUACCCGCUGAACUUAAGCAUAUCAAUAAGCGGAGGAAAAGAAACCAACAGGGAUUGCCCCAGUAACGGCGAGUGAAGCGGCAACAGCUCAAAUUUGAAAUCUGGCUCUCGGGCCCGAGUUGUAAUUUGUAGAGGAUGCUUUUGGUGAGGUGCCUUCCGAGUUCCCUGGAACGGGACGCCAUAGAGGGUGGGAGCCCCGUCUGGUUGGACACCGAUCCUCUGUAAAGCUCCUUCGACGAGUCGAGUAGUUUGGGAAUGCUGCUCUAAAUGGGAGGUAUAUGUCUUCUAAAGCUAAAUACCGGCCAGAGACCGAUAGCGCACAAGUAGAGUGAUCGAAAGAUGAAAAGAACUUUGAAAAGAGAGUUAAAAAGUACGUGAAAUUGUUGAAAGGGAAGCGCUUGUGACCAGACUUGGGCUUGGUUGAUCAUCCGGGGUUCUCCCCGGUGCACUCUUCCGGCUCAGGCCAGCAUCAGUUCGCCCUGGGGGAUAAAGGCUUCGGGAAUGUGGCUCUCUCCGGGGAGUGUUAUAGCCCGCUGCGUAAUACCCUGUGGCGGACUGAGGUCCGCGCAUUCGCAAGGAUGCUGGCGUAAUGGUCAUCAGUGACCCGUCUUGAAACACGGACC